rnacentral:lncRNA from 1 species
AUUAUUAUAAUUUCAUUAAGUUAAUAUUUACUAUAAUUUCUAUCAGUAAAUAUUUUUAUUCCCUCCCCUUUUAUUUUCUCUAGCUUUGAAAAAGGAAAAAGAAUAGUAUUAGAAAAUAAUGUCGUGUCUCAGAGAAAAAUAAAUUACCAAGUCUUUUCCAAAUACCUUAUGUACAAUGGACAAAUUUUCAUCUGGAAAAGCACACAGUCUUUCUGAAUCUGUUCAUUUCUUCAGUAAAAGAGUCAUGCUAAAUGUUCCUAAUGUGUUUUUCAACUGAGUCCACUACUGUGAAAGUGAAAGGGUUACAAAUUCAUGAUGUUGAAGAAUAAGUUCCUUUGCUUCAUUCAUGCUUCUUAUGCAGAGGUAGUGAACUCUGCUCGAAUAGUUUGUUUUAAUUAAAUGAAAUGGCACUAUUCUCUGUAAUUUUCACA